GACAGAGGUGCCAAGCGUUAGGCGGAAUCACUGGGCUUAAAGCGUGUGUAGGCGGAAUUGUAAGUACCUUGUGAAAUCCCACGGCUCAACCGUGGAACUGCUUGGUAUACUGGUUGUCUUGAGGCACUCAGGGGCGAGCGGAACAGAUGGUGGAGCGGUGAAAUGCGUAGAUAUCAUCUGGAACGCCAAUGGUGAAGACAGCUCGCUGGGGGGUGUACUGACACUGAGACACGAAAGCCAGGGGAGCAAACGGG
rnacentral:rRNA from 1 species